rnacentral:lncRNA from 1 species
UUUUAUUGAUUGAAAAUAUAUUAUAAAGAGAGAUGAGAAGAAGAAUUUGGGGGGAAAUAAGAGAAGAGAAGGUGUGUAGAGCUGUGUUCAUCACCUCUCUAUUUAUACUAAUACAUGAUAAAUUCACACCACACAAAUAAAAAAAUCUAAUUACAUCUUAACCUUACAUUUGUCUCACUAAUAAUCCCACUAAUAAAACAUAAACCUAACUUAAUCCACUCAAGUAUAUCCAACACAUUCCACUAACAAUUACAAUACUUAAUAUAAUAAAAACUUAUAAUCUUACAGUUACCACAUUUACCAUGGUAAAAACGUAAAAAUUUAUAACAAAAGUCUUGGAUCCUCCUCGACAAUGACAUAAUUUCUCGAAUUUCUGGAAUCCACAUUUAACAUCCAUACAUUUGUUUGGAGCCUCAAAUUGCAUGAAAUUAUUAUUUUUACCUAAUAAACACAAAAAAAUACACAAAAUCAAAUACUUAGAAAAAUAAUUAGAAAUUCACAAGAUGUUACACAAUUACAAAUAUAAAUUACAUUAAUAGCACAAAAUAACAUUUUUAUCCCUUAAUAAACAUACAAUUUUUAACACUAAUCAACAUUCUUUAUUUUUACUUCAGUCUCUUCAAGAUGAAGAUGUCGUUUGUUAUGUUGAGAGGAUUCCAAAGAAAACAGUAAACUCAAUUAAAGAUAAGGCGUUAAGCAAGAUUGACUAAGUUAGAUACAACAUGGUGGCAAUAAGAGUGAGAGGUAGAGGUGGCAAAAAUACCCGCCCGGUCCGGACCCGGACCGUACCCGGGUGUUGCGGGCCGGGUAUUGUAUGAAGCCGGGUCGGUCUUGGGCAUCACUUGAUAAACCCGGAACCCGGAUUUUAUUAAAAAAAAUUAUAAAAUAUAUAUUAUUUUAAAUAUUUUAUAUUUAUUUGACUUAUUUAUUAUACAUAUAUAAAGUUUUAAACACUUAAAGUUUAUAUUUUCAUGUCAAAUUUUAUUGAAAUAAAUUUAAAACUUAUAAAAUUAUCAAAAAAUAAAAAAUAUAUACACAUAAAAUAUUAAAAAAUAUAAAAUCCGGGUACCCAGAUUAAAACCCGGCCCAGACCCGAACCCGGACCGGUUGCAUCCGGGCAGGGUCCGGUCAUGGCAAUACCCGGACCCGGCCCGGGGUUUUGCCAUCUCUAGUGAGAGGGUGUUUGAAAUUGUGCGAGAAUUCAAUAAGUUGUAAUCUUUACAUUACUUAGUAAAGCUUAUUAUUUAGGCAUGUCCUUAUGGAUGUAGGAUUGUAAUCUGAACCACAUAAAAAUCCUUUUUAUGUUUUAUUUUUUAUAAUUUACUGUUUUUAGCAUAUUUAUGAUGAAUGAACAGUAAAUGUGAAUAGUGUAGUGAAUAGGUAUGAUGAAUAGUACUAUAAACAUUACUCGUAGACAGUAACAAACGAGAUCUUGGAAUGAAAUUCCUAGCUGUUGCUAGAGGUAGGUGUUAUGCAAAUUUUAUUGUACUUACAAGUGCGCAAAUCUAUUUCAGUAUAGAUUUAUAGUGAUGAGUAGUGUCGAUCCCACAAGGAUGGAGAUUUACUUAUGUCCAAGGUUAAUUUUUUACGUGUGUAUGUGAAUUGGCUGGAAAUGAUUUUUGAACAAUAUUAAAAUUUAAAAUAAAAGUGGUGGGAAUAAAUUAAUGAUGAGAAUAAUUCAAAUAAACAUUUGAGUAUCUGGAUUCACACUUAAUACUUUACCAUGGGCUUAAUAUUCAUUUUUAGUUCGAAUUAAUUUAUAAGGGGUUAUUUCCCCUCCUCAUAAGCUUCACUCUAAUAAAAAUUAUAUCAAGCGCUCAAUGUGUCAGAGGGUAAUGAUCUUUCUCUAAAUGUGAUGUCAAGUACAUGUUAUGUCAAAUUAGGGCUGGGCACGAUAUGGUUCAGUUCGAUUUUCUAUCUCGGUUUGGUUCUGUUUAGAUAGAAAACGGAACCGAACUAAAACGAAUCGAUUCUCUCAAACUAGAAUCGAACGUAACUCGAAAUUUAAAACCAAACUGAACUGAAAUUUUUUUAUUCGGUUCAGUUUCUGUUGUGAAUUUUGGUUCGGUUCAGUUCGAGUUAUUUUGGUUCUUUUCGGUUUCAAGUAUAUAUUUUCUCAUGUAUUAAACUACACGUAGUAUUAACAUUAUAUACAAUGUAAUAAAAUUCAACAAAAAUAAUAAAGCCCCAACACAUUAUAAAUCGAAAAAAUAUAUAUAUAUAAUAUUUUUUCAUUGUCAAAAUAAUAAUAACAAACCAAAAAUCUCAUGGGUUUCAAAAUCACCAUUUUCCCACAACACAAACCAGGCCUGUACAUAGGGUUUCAAUAUCAACAUUUUUAAUAACCAACCAAGGCCUUCAAAAUCACAAUUUUUCCAACAACCAAACGAGGCCAGCACAUGGGUGUCAAAGCUACCAAUCGGCAACAACAACAAAUACAAUACAUUAAAAGCUAGAAAGUCUGCAACAGUUACAAAUACCUAAAAAAAAGCUGGAAAAAAAUCAAAAUUUAAUAUUGUUAUUGUACUUAGACAAAGAAAUAGAUCUAGAUCUAUAAUAUUUGUUAUGAGAGAAAUAAGAAGAAACUAAGAAUCUUUGUGUGGUGGUCGACGGCCUGCGAUGAUUGCAGCUGAAGGACGGCUGUUGUGGGGUUGUGACAAAUAGCCGGUGGCUGAUAGGUGGUUGUGCUAAGAGUUGAUGAUGGUUGUGUGGUGCAAAAGAAGUAGUUGCCAGCUGCAUGUAUGGUGUCAGAGAGGAGCGGUUAUUGGUGGUAGAAAUAGAAUGUACUGAUCAGAGUGUGGGAGUGUGAGGGAUGGUGUGUUACUGCUGUGUUUGAGAGAUGAGUGUGUGAGAUUUAGGUUUCUAUUCACUUUAUCUAUAUAUAUGAAUAUUAAAAUAUUUUUUAUUUUUAAAGAAAGAACCGAAUACAAACCAAUCGGUUCUUUAAUUUCCAAAUCAUUCGGGUUUUAUCUUUAGAAUCAAAUCGAACCAAAUCGAAAAAUAUCAAUUCAGUUUGGUUCGUUAAAAACCAAACCAAAUGCCCACCCCUAUGUUAGAUGAUAGUAAUCAUUCUAUCAACAAUGUGGCAAGAUCGCCUACUAAAUAACUUAAAUGCACUCUUUAUCAACACUAUGUCAGAUGACCCAUAAACACUAGAGAAGAGCCUCUUUCCAAUAAAUAUGGUGUAAAAUGUUCAUUGUGACAAACAAUAACGAUCUUUUACUAGGGAUCCGUAUAUUGUACAAAAUAAAACAAGAUACACUAUCUGUUGAUAAUGAGUUAAAAAACCACAUAAAUUAGAGAGAAAAAAAUAAACUUACCAAAUUAAGCCCAUGGAUCUUAUAAAGGCUUUACCUUCAACUCAAACUAAAAAUUAAAUUAGUCACUCAUAAUUGAACUAGGGGUAAAAUGUUAAUUGUAUUGAAAUACAUAGAAAAUAUAAGAUAGAGUGAGAAUUACAAAAAAUGAAGCUCUCAGAACUAUUAAAUAAGGAGAAACCCUUAUUUAUAGAUACAAUGAGUACAUUACAAUCAUCAGAUGAAAAUAAUUUGGACGCUCAGGAUUACGCCACGUGGCAAUAUCUAAUUAGUUAAAACACAUCAUUAGGUCCAGUAAUAUGGUACCACAUCAUCCGUCAACGCCAUAUCAAUAUCUUUCGGUCCAGUAGGAUACUGCCACGUCAUAGGUUAAUGCCACUUCAUCGAUCAAUGCCACAUCAACAUUUUUCAUUUCAAUAGUAUGCUGCCACAUAAUAAGUCAAUGUCACAUCAGCUGGUCCAUUCCUCUCAGCUAGUCAAUGCCACCUCAACUAGUCAACGCCCCACAAAAAUCCUAAAAUUUAUAAUUUUGCCCUUU